rnacentral:rRNA from 1 species
GACGAACGCUGGCGGCGUGCUUAACACAUGCAAGUCGAACGGUGAGGAGGAGCUUGCUCCUCCGAUCAGUGGCGAACGGGUGAGUAACACGUGAGUAACCUGCCCCAGACCCUGGGAUAACAGUUGGAACAGCUGCUAAUACCGGAUACGAGACGGAGAGGCAUCUCUACCGUCUGGAAAGAUUUAUCGGUCUGGGAUGGACUCGCGGCCUAUCAGCUUGUUGGUGAGGUAAAGGCUCACCAAGGCGACGACGGGUAGCCGGCCUGAGAGGGCGACCGGCCACACUGGGACUGAGACACGGCCCAGACUCCUACGGGAGGCAGCAGUGGGGAAUAUUGCACAGUGGGCGAAACCUGAUGCAGCGAGCCGCGUGAGGGAUGAC